GCCUGUGUGGCUCAGUGGUUGAGCGUCUGCCUUCAGCCCAGGUCCCGGGAUCGAGUCCCGCAUCAGGCU
rnacentral:tRNA from 1 species